CACGCUUCUUCUCGGGCGCGCUUCCUCCUCCUCCUCCUCCUUCGGGCUCGACCCGAGGCUUCCGGCGGCAGCCUCCGGGUGUCGGAUUUUGUAAAAUAUAAUUAACAUAACUGAAAGGUGCAGCAGCGGGAUCGGCCCGGGCGGGGCGCCUCCAAAGAGAGGGACCCCGAACAAAGAAAUCCCGGGGCCGUUCCACGCUUGGGUCCCGGACACCCGCCCCUCGCGCGCUGUCCGCGCGUCCCUUAGUCCCGCGGUGACUUUUGGUCUGGGGUCUUCUACCGUCGUCUCGGAUUCUUCUUCUGUAUAGCUGUGGGCGGUGCGUUAUUCCACAGGUGCCGCCGCGCCGAUGCUCCGUACGUUCGCAGUAACGGGUAGAGCGGAAGGCUCCGUGGCCAGGGAAGAGCGGCACGGACGCGUUCCUGCUCGCUCCGUUGCACCGGAAUUUCGACGGCUGGGUUCGGCCGCUAAAUUGAUGGCGCUACCGGAAGAAAUUUCAGAGAAAAAGGGUGGCUUUUUCGUCGAUCUCUUUGUGAGAGUAUCAAAUCAGGCGGCGGUAAAUACGUAGAAGCAGCUAGGCGUACUACGGCGUGUACCGGACAGCGUUGGCGUGCCGCUCUGCUAGCAGCGGAGAGCCAGAUGAGGAUGCCCGUGAUAUGAGAAAAGCUCUGUCCAGAGAUAUGGAGACGAAAUCAGUUGUACCUCAUCCCGUGACACCGGAAGACAUUGAGUAACUGUAAGCUGUGAUGCUCAGUGAAAUUACUAAGAGCGUUAAGUUUCCCGUGCCUUUGCUUUCACUCUCCCAUUCUCUUGUCUUGCGGCACGUCGCAUUUUUUGAGGCCGUGGA